UACGUAGGGGGCAAGCGUUGUCCGGAAUCAUUGGGCGUAAAGAGCGUGUAGGCGGCCCGAUAAGUCCGCUGUGAAAGUCCAGGGCUCAACCCUGGAAUGCCGGUGGAUACUGUCGGGCUCGAAUCCGGAAGAGGUGAGUGGAAUUCCUGGUGUAGCGGUGAAAUGCGCAGAUAUCAGGAGGAACAUCAAUGGCGAAGGCAGCUCACUGGGACGGUAUUGACGCUGAGACGCGAAAGCGUGGGGAGCAAACAGG
rnacentral:rRNA from 1 species